rnacentral:lncRNA from 1 species
GGACUGUUGACAUUCAGGGAUGUAGCCAUAGAAUUCUGUCUGGAGGAGUGUCAAUACCUGGAUGCUGCUCAGCAGAAUUUGUAUAUGGAUGUGAUGUUAGAGAACUACAGAAACCCGGUCUUCUUGGUAUUGUCUUCUCUAAGCCAGACCUGGUCACCUGUCUGGAGCAAAGGAAAAAGCCAUGGAGUAUGAAGCACCCAGCUGUGUUCUCAUUUCACCCAAGACCUUUGGCUAGAUCAGAACAUAAAAAAUUCAUUUCAAAAAGUGAUGCUGAGAAGAUAUGGGAAAUACAGACAUGAGAAUUUACAAAUAAGAAAAGGCUGUAAAAGUUUGAAUGCAUCUAAGGUGCAGGAAGGAGGUUAUAAUGGACUUAACCAAUGUUUGUCGAUUACUCAGAGCAAAAUACUUCAAUGUAAUACAUGUGUGAAAGUCUUAAGGAAAUUUUCAAAUUCAAAUAGACUUAGGAGAAGA